AUGGAUAAAGAUAUGGAUACGGUGAGGUCUCUAUGGGGUCUCGGUGGGGCCCGGCUGCACGAGGCCGUGUGGCAGCGGCUCCGUCAGCGCUCUCUGUCCUUCCCCACAGGGCUGAUGGCGGCCGUGACGUUGGACGAGUCCGGGGGCGGCCUCCAGGCGCCCGGAGGAGGGAUCACCCUCGUCUGCAAGGCCUCCGGCUUCUCCGUCAGCAGUGUCACCAUGCAGUGGGUGCGACAGGCACCUGGCAAAGGGCUGGAGUGGCUCGCAGUUAUUUGCAGUGGUAGUAGCACAUACUACGGGUCGGCGGUGAAGGGCCGUGCCACCAUCUCGAGGGACGAUGGGCAGAGCAAAGUGCGGCUGCAGCUGAACAGCCUCAAGGCCGACGACACCGCCACCUACUACUGUGCCAAAAAUGCUAAUGGCGACUGUGAAGGAGAUGAUAUCGACGUCACUCCUGGAUUUAGUGGUAUCUCCCACUGCCCCAACUGA